ensembl:lncRNA
GGAGUUCGUACCAAAACCACCUCCCAGGAAACCCCGCGAGGCCUCAGAAGUCCCUCCGGACCAGGGCAAGAAAGGGACAUUCCCUGAAUUGCCUCCCUUGCCCGGCUGCGUCCGUGUUACUUUUCUACAAGACCCGGGAUCCAGGAAGAAAUCAGGUGUCACCACCAAGAAGUCCAGUCAGCUGCCAGCAACCCCAGAGGGGUCUUCUACCAGAACGCAGCCCGGGAAAAAGAAAGAGGGAAAAUCCACUGCGAAAAGCAAAGCAAAGAAGAUGGGUCCUGCAAAGGCAGUGGAACCAAAGAGUUACACAGAAGAACACAGAGCAGUGAAAGUCCCCACUCAAGGAGGAGUGCCAGAAAAGGCACAAGCAAACCUGCAGAGCCAUAGUGGAGCCCCAUCCCCGGUGCAAACACCAAUAG